UGUGGUGGAUUCAUUAAAAUCAAUUCAGAACUGGCACGGACUUGGGGAAUCCGACUGUCUAAUUAAAACAAAGCAUUGUGAUGGCCCUAGCGGGUGUUGACACAAUGUGAUUUCUGCCCAGUGCUCUGAAUGUCAAAGUGAAGAAAUUCAAGUAAGCGCGGGUCAACGGCGGGAGUAACUAUGACUCUCUUAAGGUAGCCAAAUGCCUCGUCAUCUAAUUAGUGACGCGCAUGAAUGGAUUAACGAGAUUCCUACUGUCCCUAUCUACUAUCUAGCGAAACCACAGCCAAGGGAACGGGCUUGGAAUAAUUAGCGGGGAAAGAAGACCCUUUUGAGCUUGACUCUAAUCUGGCAGUGUAAGGAGACAUAAGAGGUGUAGAAUAAGUGGGAGAUAUUAGACCUCGGUUUGGUAUCGUCAAUGAAAUACCACUACUCUUAUUGUUUCCUUACUUACUUGAUUAAAUGGAACGUGUAUCAUUUCCUAGCCAUUAUACGGAUAUAUUUAUUAUAUCUUAUGGUAUUGGGUUUUGAUGCAAGCUUCUUGAUCAAAGUAUCACGAGUUUGUUAUAUAAUCGCAAACAAAUUCUUUAAUAAAACGAUGCAUUUAUGUAUUUUUGAUUUGAAAAUUUGGUAUAACUCCAAUUACUCAGGUAUGAUCCAAUUCAAGGACAUUGCCAGGUAGGGAGUUUGACUGGGGCGGUACAUCUCUCAAAUAAUAACGGAGGUGUCCCAAGGCCAGCUCAGUGCGGACAGAAACCACACAUAGAGCAAAAGGGCAAAUGCUGACUUGAUCUCGGUGUUCAGUACACACAGGGACAGCAAAAGCUCGGCCUAUCGAUCCUUUUGGUUUAAAGAGUUUUUAACAAGAGGUGUCAAAAAAGUUACCAUAGGGAUAACUGGCUUGUGGCGGCCAAGCGUUCAUAGCCACGUUGCUUUUUUGAUCCUUUCAAGGUCGGCUCUUCCUAUCAAUGUGAAGCAAAAUUUCCCAAGCCGUUGAAUUGUUCCCCCUGGCAAGGGAACUUGACCCGGGGUUUAGAACGUCCUUGAAAAAAGGUAAUUUUACCCUAC
rnacentral:ncRNA from 1 species